rnacentral:rRNA from 1 species
GGAAUAUUGGGCAAUGGGAGAAAUCCUGACCCAGCGACGCCGCGUGAAUGAUGAAGGCCUUCGGGUCGUAAAGUUCUUUUAUGCGGGAAGAAAGAAAUGACGGUACCGCAUGAAUAAGCCCCGGCUAACUACGUGCCAGCAGCCGCGGUAAUACGUAGGGGGCGAGCGUUGUUCGGAAUUACUGGGCGUAAAGGGCGCGCAGGCUGUUAAUCAAGUCAGCUGUUAAAUAUUGCGGCUUAACCGUGAUAUGCAGUUGAAACUGUUUAACUGGAGUACCGGAGAGGUAAGCGGAAUUCCCAGUGUAGCGGUGAAAUGCGUAGAUAUUGGGAAGAACAUCGGUGGCGAAGGCGGCUUACUGGCCGGUAACUGACGCUGAGGCGCGAAAGCUAGGGUAGCAAACG